GAUGAACGCUGGCGGCGUGCUUAACACAUGCAAGUCAAGGGGGCCCAGCAAUGGGCAACCGGCGAACGGGUGCGUAACACGUGAGCAACCUACCGAAUUGUGGGGGAUAGCCGGCCCAACGGCCGGGUAAUACCGCAUACGCUCGAGACGAGGCAUUUCGAUUCGAGGAAAUCUACGGAGCAAUUCGAGGGGCUCGCGGCCUAUCAGCUAGUUGGUGAGGUAACGGCUCACCAAGGCGACGACGGGUAGCUGGUCUGAGAGGAUGGCCAGCCGCAUUGGGACUGAGAUACGGCCCAGACUCCUACGGGAGGCAGCAGUGGGGAAUCUUGCGCAAUGGCCUAACGGCUGACGCAGCGACGCCGCGUGAGGGAUGACGCUCUUCGGAGUGUAAACCUCUUUUGCCCGGGACGAACUGCCAGUUUUCACUGGCUUGACGGUACCGGGUGAAUAAGCACCGGCUAACUCCGUGCCAGCAGCCGCGGUAAUACGGGGGGUGCGAGCGUUGUCCGGAAUCACUGGGCGUAAAGGGCGCGUAGGUGGUCUGAUAAGGGUGUGGUGAAAGCCCGGGGCUCAACCCCGGGUCGGCCGUGCCGACUGUUGGACUAGAGUGCUGUAGGGGCAGGCGGAAUUCCGGGUGUAGCGGUGGAAUGCGUAGAGAUCCG
rnacentral:rRNA from 1 species